UACUCCGGCAACUUGGAAUAGAGAACACGGCGCCCAGUAUUCUUCCUUACGGAAGGCACACAGGUGGGGGAAAUUUGGAACAAUUGGCGCGAACGCCUGACUCCCAGCCCAUGGCCGCGGGAGUGAAGAAGGUCUUCCGGGUGGUAAAGCUCUUUCAGGCGGAAAGAAAUCGCGCAGGAUAAAUACUCUGCGGGGAUGACGGUACCGGAAGAAGAAGCACGGCUAACUACGUGCCAGCAGCCGCGGUAAUACGUAGGGUGCGAGCGUUAAUCGGAAUUACUGGGCGUAAAGCGUGCGCAGGCGGUUAUGUAAGACAGAUGUGAAAUCCCCGGGCUCAACCUGGGAACUGCGUUUGUGACUGCAUAACUAGAGUACGGCAGAGGGAGGUGGAAUUCCGCGUGUAGCAGUGAAAUGCGUAGAUAUGCGGAGGAACACCGAUGGCGAAGGCAGCCUCCUGGGCCAGUACUGACGCUCAUGCACGAAAGCGUGGGGAGCAAACAGGAUUAGAUACCCUGGUAGUCCACGCCCUAAACGAUGUCAACUAGUUGUUCGGUGAGGAGACUCAUUGAGUAACGCAGCUAACGCGUGAAGUUGACCGCCUGGGGAGUACGGCCGCAAGGUUAAAACUCAAAGGAAUUGACGGGGACCCGCACAAGCGGUGGAUGAUGUGGAUUAAUUCGAUGCAACGCGAAAAACCUUACCUACCC
rnacentral:rRNA from 1 species